GACGAACGCUGGCGGCGUGCCUAAUGCAUGCAAGUUGAGCGCUGAAGGUUGGUACUUGUACCAACUGGAUGAGCAGCGAACGGGUGAGUAACGCGUGGGGAAUCUGCCUUUGAGCGGGGGACAACAUUUGGAAACGAAUGCUAAUACCGCAUAAAAACUUUAAACACAAGUUUUAAGUUUGAAAGAUGCAAUUGCAUCACUCAAAGAUGAUCCCGCGUUGUAUUAGCUAGUUGGUGAGGUAAAGGCUCACCAAGGCGAUGAUACAUAGCCGACCUGAGAGGGUGAUCGGCCACAUUGGGACUGAGACACGGCCCAAACUCCUACGGGAGGCAGCAGUAGGGAAUCUUCGGCAAUGGACGGAAGUCUGACCGAGCAACGCCGCGUGAGUGAAGAAGGUUUUCGGAUCGUAAAACUCUGUUGGUAGAGAAGAACGUUGGUGAGAGUGGAAAGCUCAUCAAGUGACGGUAACUACCCAGAAAGGGACGGCUAACUACGUG
rnacentral:rRNA from 1 species